rnacentral:rRNA from 1 species
GAUGAACGCUGGCGGCGUGCCUAAUACAUGCAAGUCGAGCGAACAGACGAGGAGCUUGCUCCUCUGACGUUAGCGGCGGACGGGUGAGUAACACGUGGAUAACCUACCUAUAAGACUGGGAUAACUUCGGGAAACCGGAGCUAAUACCGGAUAAUAUAUUGAACCGCAUGGUUCAAUAGUGAAAGACGGUUUUGCUGUCACUUAUAGAUGGAUCCGCGCCGCAUUAGCUAGUUGGUAAGGUAACGGCUUACCAAGGCAACGAUGCGUAGCCGACCUGAGAGGGUGAUCGGCCACACUGGAACUGAGACACGGUCCAGACUCCUACGGGAGGCAGCAGUAGGGAAUCUACCGCAAUGGGCGAAAGCCUGACGGAGCAACGCCGCGUGAGUGAUGAAGGUCUUCGGAUCGUAAAACUCUGUUAUUAGGGAAGAACAAAUGUGUAAGUAACUAUGCACGUCUUGACGGUACCUAAGCAGAAAGCCACGGCUAACUACGU